AAUGAGAACGUGCCCAGAUGGCAGCCCUGCCCUGGAGCCCCGCACGCCCUGCUCUGGCUCGCCUGUGGCUGGAGGCAGCGCCCGUUUGCGCCCUGCGGGCACCCGGCCGAGGCGCGAGGCCGGCUUGCAGCACGGAGGGGGUGGCCUUCCUCGAUUACCCGUGCCCCCUCCCCAGCCUCCAGGCCCGGCUGGUCCAAUACAGCCUGACCCGCCACAGCAGCGUCAUGCAGGAGCGGGCCUUGCUGAACCACCCCAGACCCCGCCGCUCACGCUCGGUGGGGGGGAGGCCUACGGCAGCCCGGCGAGGCCCCCAUGUGUUGGACAAGGCACUGCCGGUGCCUGAGGGACACCUCCAGCCGCGCUCCAGGAUCACUGGCAGCAGCAGGAACAAGUCGGGGAGCCUGACACCAGAGCUCCCAGGAGCCAGCGUGGGCCCUGGGCACAGCCAGGCAGGGGGUGGGGCGACCCUUGAGCCCAGAGGUGACUGGAAUCACCUGGACACAGCGCCACCCCCUGGCAGCUCCCUGAGCACCCGAGCCACAGGUGGGCAGCACUCAGCCCCCAUGCUCCCACCAACAGACGCUCUGCCGCAGGCCAGUGCAACUCCCGGAGGUGUCAAUGGGCCUGCGGCUCUGCCCCCCCCAACGCCCCAAGUGCAGGAGGGCCCUGGGCGCCUGGCAUGCUCGUGUCCCAACGCUGUGGCCCAGCGGGGAGCCGCGCCGGAGGGGCAGGCCCCACAGGCCUACGUACCCACGCCCCGCACGGAGGAAGCGGCCUGGGCCGCCAGCGCCCUGACCUUCCUGCUGGUGGUGCUGACCCUCGCCAUCCUGUACACCCGGCUUCACCGCAAGUGCCGCAAGAGCCA
rnacentral:lncRNA from 1 species